UUCCUGGCGGUCAGUGGUUAUGACUCUGCACUUCCAGUGCAGAGGGCACAGGUUCAAUCCCUGGUCAGGUAA
rnacentral:tRNA from 1 species